CACACACACACACACACACACACACACACACACACACACACACACUGUCUUCUCUCCUCCAUUUCAUGUGUCUUUCUGAUUUCUCCUCUCAUCUCUCAGUCUGCAUUUUCUUCUUCACUGGUUGCUCUCUCAUGUCCUGAAUGGAUGUUGAGGAGUCUCUGCUGCUGGACAGGGGUCUCUGUGAGUCUGUGUGUCCAGGACAGUCUUGUCUCUGUGGGACACGGCUGGAGUCUGUCUCUGUUGUACAUCGUUUAGGACGUGCUGCAUGACUCCAGAGUAAGACACACACACGCUUGUUUGACUAUAUUAGUGAGGACAAUGCAAGACUUCCGUGUGGUCAUGAUGUGAUGUCGCUCUGCGCCACUAGAGGGAGUAAGUUUUUUUUUUUUUUUUUACAUGAGUGCAGUUAAAGGAAAACAACACUCAGAUAAAAGCGAAAGUAAAAGAAGAAAUAGAAACGCCAUUUCGUGACUCUGAACCUGUAAACACUGAGUAAAUAAGAAAAAUCAUAUUUUAUGGAAAAUAAAGAAAACAACUAACUCUGUCUCCAUGUGACAGCUGGAGAACAGUGACUCCAGAAUGAUUCCCUGCAGUGAAAAGAGUGAAGAUCAGGACUCUAAAAUGAGUUCUCCAUCUCCCGAAUCAAUCUGCAAGCAACCCAUGAAGUAUCUGUCCCUCGGUAUCAGCGAGAUGAUCAAACAGAGAUCCACUGAGAGACCCAUUAACUUCAGUGAUAUAGCAGUGACCUCUGACCUUCACUGGAGGCGCAGACAGAAAUCCUUUGAUCCACGCAUUAACUUUUAGUAUGGAGAAGAUACAUGAGACAGUGAGAUCUGUGGCAUCCUCUACAUCCCACUAACAGACUCACAUCAGUUCAUUCUGGACCGGGCCGAGGGAAAAGACAAUCCGGAUGUAGAUUUCAAGAGCUGAACUUGAUCCAAGAUCAUCAGUACACAGAGGUGUAAAGAAUUCGAGUAAAUGUAAUUAAUUACUGUACUUGAGUAUCUUUUUAGAUACUCUGUAGUUUUACUGAUUAUCAAAGAUAUAAGCAGCUUUUAUUCUCUACUUCACUUCAUUUUUGAAUAAGCAUCUGUCCUCUUUACUCCACUACUUUUGAAACGAGUGAGUGUUUCAGUUACACAUUACAUUUUGCACGGCACAUAGGUUUUUCUGCAGUAGUUUAUUUCUGCUACAAAAGAAGUGUACUGUCUACUACAGGAAGUACACAAAGUACUAUAUCUUAUGAGUUUUGCCCUUACUCACCCAAACGUGUCAACAAGGCUACUUUACAUUAAUGUAAGUUUCUUAGCAUGUAGUUGUGAAGUAGAUUUAGAAAAUGAACACGAUUGUUCUCUUCACAAAUAUACUGUUUCUUGUUUUUCUUACAUAUUCUCUGUGCCUUGUCUUGGACUUUUAUGUCACUUCCUGUCUUUUUAUCUUGUUAAGCUUGAUAGCCCCCUGUGUGUGUAUGUAUAUAUAUAUAUAUAUAUUUGUUUAGUUCCUUGUGAGUCGUUAAAUGUAAUGGUUGUCUGUUUGCCUGUCAUUCUGUAGUUUGUUCGCUGUGGUUUUUGGUUUAUUGAAAACUAAGGGUGACAGAGCCUUUUCAGUCACUGCCCCCCGUCUGUGCAUCCAAUUGCCUCUAGACUGCCGCCUUGCACCUUCCAUUACCAUUUUUAAAUCCAGGUUAAAAACGUAUCUUUUCUCCUUAGCAUUUUAAUUUCACUUCAUUGUUGUUUUAUUGUAUUAUACAGUAUGUCUUGUUUGCUUCUUUUCUGCGUUUCCUUUUCUCUUUUAAUUUUAUUUUACAUUAUUCAGCACUUUGGAUAGCUUUGCUAUGUUUAAUGUGCUAUAUAAAUAAAAUUUACUUACUUACUUUAUUGUUUGUUCUAGUUAGUGAUGGUGAAGUGAAGCUUUCUGAACCAGCGAAGCUUUCAACACAGUUAAAUCAGGAAAAGGUUAAUUACUCUAAGCUUUUCAACACAGUUUACGUUGUGUCCAUCAAGUGGUCAUUAAAAUGAAGGGCACCUUAUAAAGUGCUGUGUUCCAUUACAGCCGCUGGUUUCACAUAUGGAUCUACAAAUCCAUCUACAAAUAAGUAAGAUAAAUGAAACAAAUUCAUAAAUUAAAAACACGAUUUGUCUGUUUUAACUCUGCCUCAGUCCUUAGACUAUUAUUUCAUAGGCAAAGUUCAUUUGAGCUUAACAUAUAAAUAACAAUAUUUAAAAAAGCAUUAUAAUGUAAUAUAGCCUAAUGCAAAAGAAACAGCACUGAGGUUCUUGUAAAAUUCAUUUUGUUGAAUGUAAAAUAAAAAAAAAUAAAAAAAAUUAUAUUUAAAUGCCUGCACAGAGAUCCUUGCCUCUGCCUGCUUAUAAUAAUGUUUCCCCCUCUGUGCUUGACUAUGGCAAGCCGAAUUGACUUUUAUUCAUUCGCAGGAUAUGUAUUCUUGAUAUCAACAAUUCAAUUUUCACUAGUUAAAAUGUUAAUUCUUGAUAUCAGGAAUUAGAUUUCUACUAGUAACAAUUGCUAUUUUUGAUAUCAACAAUUACAUUUCCACUAGUAACAAUGCUAAUUCUUGAUAUCAAUCAUUUUUAACCUGGGAAUGGCAAUAGGCAAGCCGUAUUGACUUUUAUUCAUUCGCAGGAUAUGUAUUCUUGAUAUCAACAAUUAGAUUUCUACUAGUAACAAUUGCUAUUUUUGAUAUCAACAAUUCAAUUCUUGAUAUCAACAAUUUAAUUGUCACUAGUGACAAUGUUCAUUUCUGAUAUCAUGAAUGCAAUUGUUACUAGUAAGAAACUAAUUUUAGAUAUCAGAAAUUAUAUUGAUAUCAGAAAUGCAUUUUCAGAUAUCAGAAAUAACAAUUGUAACAUGUUGA
ensembl:lncRNA